GGCUCUUUCUAUGGUGGCGACUCGGAGGCGGCGUGGGGAUCCGUAGGGGCGGGGGGGGGUGGCGAGGCGCAGGGGCGAAGUGGCCGGCCGAGGCUCCGCUCCGGGUUGCUGCUGCUGCUGCGAAGGAGGAAGAGGAAGAGCGAGGAGGAGAGAGCAGCGAGGAGGAGGCACGCCGGGGAACCACUACUCGCCUCCCUUCUGCCGCUGCUGCUGCUUCCCGGCCUCCGCCGCCAUGGAGAACGCGCACACCAAGACCGUGGAGGAAGUGCUGGCUUAUUUCAGCGUCAACGAGAGCACCGGGCUCAGCUUGGAGCAAGUCAAGAAGCUCAGGGAGAGAUGGGGAGCCAACGAACUACCAGCUGAAGAAGGAAAAACUUUACUUGAGCUCGUGAUCGAACAGUUUGAAGACUUAUUAGUUAGAAUUUUGUUGUUGGCAGCAUGUAUAUCUUUUGUGUUGGCCUGGUUUGAAGAAGGUGAAGAAACAGUAACAGCCUUUGUAGAACCAUUUGUAAUUUUACUCAUAUUAGUUGCUAAUGCAAUUGUGGGUGUGUGGCAGGAGAGAAAUGCUGAAAAUGCUAUUGAAGCUCUUAAAGAAUAUGAACCUGAAAUGGGUAAAGUAUAUCGACAAGACAGAAAAAGUGUCCAAAGGAUAAAAGCUAGAGACAUCGUCCCCGGUGAUAUUGUGGAAGUAGCUGUUGGAGACAAGGUACCUGCUGAUAUAAGAAUUACUUCUAUAAAAUCUACAACUCUAAGGGUAGACCAAUCAAUUCUUACAGGUGAAUCCGUGUCUGUAAUCAAGCACACAGACCCCGUGCCCGAUCCUCGUGCGGUGAAUCAGGACAAGAAGAACAUGCUCUUUUCUGGUACGAACAUUGCUGCAGGCAAAGCCAUGGGUGUGGUCGUGGCAACCGGGGUCAACACCGAAAUUGGCAAAAUCCGUGACGAAAUGGUGGCCACUGAGCAAGAGAGGACCCCGCUCCAGCAGAAGCUGGACGAGUUUGGGGAGCAGCUGUCAAAGGUCAUCUCGCUUAUAUGCAUAGCGGUGUGGAUAAUCAACAUUGGUCACUUCAAUGAUCCUGUCCAUGGUGGCUCUUGGAUCCGGGGCGCCAUCUACUACUUCAAGAUUGCUGUCGCCCUGGCAGUGGCUGCCAUCCCAGAAGGUCUGCCUGCUGUCAUUACCACCUGCUUGGCUCUGGGAACCCGCCGAAUGGCCAAAAAGAAUGCUAUUGUUCGAAGCCUACCCUCCGUGGAAACCCUGGGCUGCACUUCAGUCAUUUGCUCAGACAAGACUGGCACUCUUACCACCAACCAGAUGUCUGUCUGCAGGAUGUUCGUUCUGGACAGAGUGGAAGGGGACAGCUGUUCUCUGAAUGAAUUUACAGUGUCUGGCUCAACAUACGCUCCUAUGGGAGAAGUGCAUAAAGAUGACAAACUUGUCAGAUGCUCUCAGUAUGACGGCCUUAUAGAACUGGCAACCAUCUGUGCCCUCUGCAACGACUCUUCUCUGGAUUUCAAUGAGGGAAAGGGCGUCUACGAGAAGGUCGGCGAAGCUACAGAGACAGCCCUCACUUGCCUGGUUGAGAAGAUGAAUGUGUUUGACACGGAAUUGAAAGGCCUGUCCAGAAUUGAACGAGCAAACGCUUGCAACUCGGUGAUAAAGCAGCUCAUGAAGAAAGAGUUCACUCUUGAAUUCUCACGAGAUAGGAAGUCGAUGUCUGUGUACUGCACUCCAAACAAGCCCAGUCGGACAGCCAUGAGCAAGAUGUUUGUUAAGGGCGCUCCCGAAGGUGUGAUCGACAGGUGCACGCACAUUCGAGUGGGAAGCACUAAAAUGCCUUUGACGCCGGGAAUUAAGCAGAAGAUCCUGACCGUCAUCCGAGAGUGGGGCUCAGGCAGAGACACUCUGCGUUGUCUGGCUCUGGCAACGCACGACAAUCCACCAAGGAGGGAUGAAAUGAACCUGGAGGACUCUGCAAACUUCAUUAAUUACGAGACCAAUUUGACCUUCGUCGGCUGCGUGGGAAUGCUGGAUCCCCCCAGAAUUGAAGUGGCUUCGUCCAUCAAGCUCUGCAGGCAAGCCGGCAUUCGCGUGAUCAUGAUAACCGGGGACAACAAAGGGACUGCGGUGGCCAUCUGUCGUCGCAUUGGCAUCUUUGGGGAAGAGGAGGAUGUCACCACAAAAGCCUUCACUGGCCGCGAGUUCGACGAACUCUCCCCGGCUGCCCAGAGAGACGCUUGUCAAAAUGCCCGCUGUUUUGCCCGUGUGGAACCUUCCCAUAAGUCUAAAAUUGUCGAGUUCCUGCAGUCUUUUGAUGAGAUCACAGCUAUGACUGGCGAUGGUGUAAACGAUGCCCCAGCCCUGAAGAAAGCAGAGAUCGGAAUUGCAAUGGGGUCGGGCACCGCCGUGGCAAAGACAGCUUCAGAAAUGGUGCUGGCGGAUGACAACUUCUCGACAAUCGUAGCUGCUGUGGAAGAGGGCCGUGCAAUCUACAAUAACAUGAAACAGUUCAUUCGCUACCUCAUCUCUUCAAACGUCGGGGAGGUCGUCUGUAUCUUCCUGACUGCUGCUCUGGGUUUCCCUGAAGCUUUAAUUCCCGUCCAGCUGUUGUGGGUGAAUCUCGUGACUGACGGCCUGCCUGCCACUGCCCUGGGCUUCAACCCCCCUGAUCUGGACAUCAUGGACAAACCUCCUCGCAAUCCUAAAGAGCCCCUGAUCUCCGGCUGGCUCUUCUUCCGUUAUUUGGCCAUAGGAUGCUACGUUGGAGCUGCUACCGUGGGGGCUGCCGCUUGGUGGUUUAUUGCUGCUGAUGGUGGACCAAGAAUCACCUUCUACCAGCUGAGCCAUUUCCUGCAGUGCAAAGAUGAAAACCCAGAUUUCGAAGGUGUCGACUGUGUUGUCUUUGAGUCUCCGUAUCCUAUGACAAUGGCUCUUUCUGUCUUGGUCACAAUUGAGAUGUGCAAUGCCCUCAACAGCCUGUCAGAGAACCAGUCUUUGCUGCGGAUGCCUCCCUGGGAGAAUGUCUGGCUGCUGGGUUCCAUCUGCUUGUCCAUGUCUCUUCAUUUCCUCAUCCUCUACGUGGAGCCACUGCCACUGAUCUUCCAAAUCACACCCUUGAAUCUGACCCAGUGGCUGAUGGUUUUGAAAAUCUCACUGCCCGUCAUUCUGCUGGAUGAAACACUUAAAUUUGUGGCGCGUAACUACUUAGAGCCUGGUAAAGAUAGUCUGCCGCCUGCCACCAAACCGCGUCCUCUGUCCGCAUGCACUGAAGGGAUUUCCUGGCCGUUUGUGUUCAUUACCUUGCCCUUGGUUAUCUGGCUGUACAGCACAGACACUAACUUUAGCGACAUGUUCUUGUCUUGACCUGAAGUGAAUAACCGUUUGACAGAGAGAUGUUUAACUUAAAUCAAAUUUUUUUUUAUUGUUUAAAGCAAUUUGUCUUAUUCUGCUGAAUUUUCACAUGAACAUAUUUGCCGGUGACUGAGGUUUCAUAUUCCUAAAUUUUUUGGGUUUUCUUAAUUUCCACCCCGACUCCAGUAGGGGAGCGGUAUUCCCCCCCCCUUCUUUUAUACACAACUAGGGUGUCCAUUGACAUGUACAGAGAAAUUAACACUAUUUUAUGCAAAUAUUUUUUGUAGAGGAGAAGCAUGUACAGUGUUCUGUUUAAUAGUUAACCCAUCCUUGUAAAAACAAAAUAAUAGUGUUUUGCGGGACUGGGGAGGGGGGGGGGGGGAGUACCAGUGGACACUAUUUAGCAAGCAUCAAUUGGUAGCAGAUUUUAGGGAAUGAAUGUUUUUUCUUUCUUUUUUUUUUUUGCGUGUCUUUUUUCUCUCAAACUAAAAGCAUGCAGUUUUGUGUGUAUUCUGCAUGGUCAUCUAAUUUGUCAUUCAGUUGGGCUUUUUCUGCACUGGGCGGAGUAUACUGCUACCUCAGUAUUUUUUCCCUACCCCCUCCUUUCUGUUCUUCUUCCCAUCUUUUCUUCUCCACCCCCUUUCCGUAUUUUAGGUUCUGACUUAAUUUUGUUUACACCCAUCUUAAUGCGAGGCGCGUCUGUUCUCGCCAGUGCAGAAAAUAACCCUCCCAGGAGCAACCUCUUAAUGUUGUGCGGUGGUGUUUCCCCCCACCCCCAUCUCCGCUUAACACAAGUAGGGAUUUUUUUUAAAAAAAAAAAUAUUUAUUUAAAAUGUCUUACGUGUAUUGUAACAGCAUUAUUUCACCGGCAUUGCCUGUUCUGUGUGGGUGGGGGAGAAGCAGAAAGGGAGAUAGAUGGCUGCCAGGAUGGACUUCUCAAACGAGGGGGGAAAAACCAUAAAAUUAAAAAAAAAAACACCUUUUUUACUGAGAGAUUUCUACGGCUGUCUUUUCAUAUUAAGCCCUAGGAAACUGAGUUCCUUUUUAAUUAUCUUUUUUUUUUUUUUUUUUGCGUGUGUCCGACUUUCCUUUUUUUCUUUCUUUUUUUGGUUCUAUUUUUAAAUCUGAGCAUUUGGUAACGGGCCUUGGAAGCAAACAACUCAAAUUAACCCAGCUGGAGUUCUCGCUGGGUUUUUGGUUUUUUUUGUUAAACCUCUAACUGUCAGUGACACAUCUUGGAGCAUAGCCUGCUGGCCACGUUCUUCUAGCCUGAUGUGGAAAAGUAACCACGUUUCUGUGUGUGUGUGUGUGUGUGCGCGUGCGUGUGUUUUGUAAAAUCUGUAAAUACCACAUGACCAAAUGAACAUAUUGUAUAGAACUAUUUUUUAUUUUUAAUGUGGCACUAACCACCGUCAUUCUAUUAAGAUAAAUGUUAGCGCAUGAUGUUCGUGUUUUGCCCCUCCAAACUGAGUCCUGUACCAACAACAUGUAAGUUCAUUAACAGUCCUAACUGUGUGGUGUUUCUCUCCAAUGCCUUCCAACAUUCAUCGACUGAACAAAACUGGAGUAAUCUCUUAGCCCUAAGCAAAUUUUUGCAGAAACGUAAGAUUAAUUUUUGUUGUGUGCAUGCGUCUUUAGCUACGCAUCUACCGAAAACAUCUGCAUGAGUCUUGUAAAUGAAUACAGAAACAAAAUUCUUUCCCCAGGGAGGGAGGAAAAAAAUAGAACUGAAAAGUCGUGUUCUGUGAAGGAAGUGUGUGGUGCUCUUGAAGCUUCAGUUCAUAUACAGAUCUACAAAUGUGCAAUAUAGUUUUUAACUGAUUAAAACAGACCACUCCACAAGGAAGUUUUUGGGGUUCUUUGCUGCAUGAAGACGACAAUCUCCCUAAACUGCUAAAGCAAGAAUUAAAGAGAGUGGCGAUCGGCCAAGUUUUAUUCUCCUUUUUUUCAUAUUCCGUUGUGUAAAAUGUCAUAGUUGUACAAUAUUGGACUGUAAUGCAUGCUUUUCAGUUGUAAGUAGCCGAUAAUCUCUUAUUGUAUCUUAAACAGACCACUUUAAACAGCUCUGUACAAUAUGCAAUUCUAUUUAUACAGGUUCAUUGACAACGGUACUGUUGUUGAAUGUUUGAGAAAUUGUUUUAAAAAAACCCAACAACCUUCAAUUCCAUACCUUCAGCUUUUUAAAACAAAAACUUGGAGUGUGCAAAUAGACUUAUUUUGCACUGUAAUAAUGUAACUUAUUUAAUUCUAAAGCCGUAGACACACACGUUGGUGCAAUACACAUGUUGUGAUGGCGUUUUAUCUUAACAGCAGCAGAAGCCCAAUCAUGAACUUAGUUCAUACAAGCAGCAUGUGUGACCUUUCUUUUUUUUUAGGAGUUGUAAAUAACAUUUGGUUGUUCUGAUUCAAUGCCAACAAUAACGAGCAUCACACCUACCAUCCUGGUUUCAGGUAAAAUAAACUUAUUCUAUGAUACACAGUU